GUUUUUAUAGUUGAAUGACAACGAUGAUUUUUCAUAUCAUUAGUCGUGGUUAAAUCCCAUGUAAAAAUA
rnacentral:tRNA from 1 species